rnacentral:rRNA from 1 species
UAGGGAAUCUUCGGCAAUGGACGAAAGUCUGACCGAGCAACGCCGCGUGAGUGAAGAAGGUUUCCGGAUCGUAAAACUCUGUUGUUAGAGAAGAACAAGGACGUUAGUAACUGAACGUCCCCUGACGGUAUCUAACCAGAAAGCCACGGCUAACUACGUGCCAGCAGCCGCGGUAAUACGUAGGUGGCAAGCGUUGUCCGGAUUUAUUGGGCGUAAAGCGAGCGCAGGCGGUUUCUUAAGUCUGAUGUGAAAGCCCCCGGCUCAACCGGGGAGGGUCAUUGGAAACUGGGAGACUUGAGUGCAGAAGAGGAGAGUGGAAUUCCAUGUGUAGCGGUAAAAUGCGUAGAUAUAUGAAGGAACACCAGUGGCGAAGGCGGCUCUCUGGUCUGUAACUGACGCUGAGGCUCGAAAGCGUGGGGAGCAAACAGG